CCUACGGGAGGCAGCAGUAGGGAAUAUUGCUCAAUGGGGGAAACCCUGACGCAGCAACGCCGCGUGGAGGAUGAAGGUUUUCGGAUUGUAAACUCCUUUUGUUAGAGAAGAUAAUGACGGUAUCUAACGAAUAAGCACUGGCUAACUCCGAGCCAGCAGCCGCGGUAAUACGGAGGGUGCAAGCGUUACUCGGAAUGACUGGGCGUAAAGUGCGCGUAGGCGGGAUAGCAAGUCAGAUGUGAAAUCCUAUGGCUUAACCAUAGAACUGCAUUUGAAACUGUUAUUCUAGAGUAUGGGAGAGGAAGGUGGAAUUCUAGGUGUAGGGGUAAAAUCCGCAGAGAUAAAGAGGAAUACUCAUUGCGAAGGCGACUUUCUAGAACAUAACUGACGCUGAUGUGCGAAAGCGUGGGGAGCAAACAGGAUUAGAUACCCGAGUAGUC
rnacentral:rRNA from 1 species